UAUAGAACUGCAUAACCUAGUUUUGUGUUGAAGAUGUAUAUAACCCUGCAAAACUGUUUUGUAGGUUGGUUGACCAUGGCAUAUUUUUGUCUGCUAGAUAUACUGUUUAUGGCAAGUCUCUCUGGGUUUUCAUUUGGAGUUCUUGUCUGACUUUUUCCCAUGAAUGAAGUAUUUGUAUUUAUCCCGACUACUUGGCCAGCUUAGACUGAUGUGAUAUACCAGAGAAAUUUUUAUAUUCUUUUUGCAACCUUCAUCAAAAUUAACA
rnacentral:misc_RNA from 1 species